CAGCCGCCGCGGUAAUACGGAGGGUGCAAGCGUUAAUCGGAAUUACUGGGCGUAAAGCGCACGCAGGCGGUUUGUUAAGUCAGAUGUGAAAUCCCCGAGCUUAACUUGGGAACUGCAUUUGAAACUGGCAAGCUAGAGUCUUGUAGAGGGGGGUAGAAUUCCAGGUGUAGCGGUGAAAUGCGUAGAGAUCUGGAGGAAUACCGGUGGCGAAGGCGGCCCCCUGGACAAAGACUGACGCUCAGGUGCGAAAGCGUGAGGAGCAAACAGGAUUAGAUACCCCGGUAGUCCCUGUCUCUUAUAC
rnacentral:rRNA from 1 species